AUCCUGGCUCAGGAUGAACGCUAGCUACAGGCUUAACACAUGCAAGUCGAGGGGCAGCACAGUGUAGCAAUACACGGGUGGCGACCGGCGCACGGGUGCGUAACGCGUAUCCAACCUUCCCGAUACUCUUGGAUAGCCUUCCGAAAGGGAGAUUAAUACAAGAUGGUGUUUCAAUUCCGCAUGUUAUUGAAACUAAAGAUUUAUCGGUAUCGGAUGGGGAUGCGUGACAUUAGAUAGUAGGCGGGGUAACGGCCCACCUAGUCUACGAUGUCUAGGGGUUCUGAGAGGAAGGUCCCCCACACUGGAACUGAGACACGGUCCAGACUCCUACGGGAGGCAGCAGUGAGGAAUAUUGGUCAAUGGUCUGACGACUGAACCAGCCAUGCCGCGUGAAGGUCACGGCCCUAUGGGUCUUAAACUUCUUUUGUAAGGGAGCAAUAAGUCUCACGUGUGGGAUGAUGAGAGUACCUUACGAAUAAGCAUCGGCUAACUCCGUG
rnacentral:rRNA from 1 species